rnacentral:rRNA from 1 species
UACCGAGUGGCGGACGGGUGAGUAACGCGUGGGUAACCUGCCUCAUACAGGGGGAUAACAGUUAGAAAUGACUGCUAAUACCGCAUAAGACCACAGCACCGCAUGGUGCAGGGGUAAAAACUCCGGUGGUAUGAGAUGGACCCGCGUCUGAUUAGGUAGUUGGUGGGGUAACGGCCUACCAAGCCGACGAUCAGUAGCCGACCUGAGGGGGUGACCGGCCACAUUGGGACUGAGACACGGCCCAA